rnacentral:sRNA from 16 species
GGAUUACCCCUUUGAGCUUUCGCGCUGUGUUGAUAAAGUUUCGCAUCUCUAUCAAAUCGGAUAAUCCCACCCGCAAGACUCUGCUGUCAGAUCAAGUCUGAACUACAGCAGAUAAAGUUCAUUAGUCUCACUUCUUGCUUAUUUAUUGUAAAUUUCUUAAUAUUUCCGCUCCGAUGGUAAUAUCAGUUG